GUUUGAGCUCACUCCCAGCAGGGAAUAUGAGUUUAACAUUUUUUGUUGUUUUUUUCCUCCUGCUUCUAGAGCGGUAGAAAGCAGUCUUUAGCCUGAGACCCAUCCCUAGGCCCCAUAGAAGAUGCCAAUCAAAAUAAACUGCAUUCCUGAGACACAGGCCAGAAAUUAAAGCUAUUCAACUCCUCAACGCCAAGGGACUACUGUGGAACAGAUCCUGAAUUCCAGCUGAAGAGUUGACAUCAACCAGUUUGAAGCCUCCCUUCCCCCCGAAGAGGAACAAAAUCAGCAUGAGAAUACUGUUUCUUCCUCUCCUGUCCCUUGACUUCACCCUGCACUCUUUCCAAUCAUCUCCACACUUCAACCCAUUCCAAAACCCUUAAAAUCCCCAGCCCCCAACUACUCAGGGAGACGGAUUUGAGGAUUCCUCUUGUCUCCUUGAUUGGUGGCCCUAUGGUUAAACCUUUCUCUGCUACAAAC
rnacentral:lncRNA from 1 species